rnacentral:rRNA from 1 species
AUUGAACGCUGGCGGCAGGCCUAACACAUGCAAGUCGAGCGGAGAGGCGGACGGGUGAGUAAUGCCUAGAAAUCUGACUGGUAGUGGUGGCUAACGUCCGGAAACGGGCGAUACUACCGCAUACUAUCAGAUGAGCCUAGGUCGGUGUAGCUAGUGGGUGGGGUAAAGGCCUACCAAGGCGUCGAUCCGUCACUGGUCUGAGAGGAUGAUCAGUCACACGGGAACUGAGACACGGUCCAGACUCCUACGGGAGUCAGCAGUGGGGAAUUUUGGACAAUGUGAGAAAGCCUGAUCCAGCCAUGCCGCGUGUGUGAAGAAGGCCUUCGGAUUGUAAAGCACUUUAAGCUGGGAGGCGUUACCAACAGAAUAAGCACCGGCUAACUUCGUGCCAGCCGCCGCGGUAAUAC